UCCACGUCCGGCUGGGAGAGACUUCUGCUUCUCUGAACCUUUGGAGAGCUGCUGCCAGUCAGUGCUGGCAAUACUGCGCCCGAUGGACCAAUGGUCUGACGUGCAAGCAGUAUUGAAAGUGGUAUUGCUCCAACACCAUCAUGAACAUGAAUCAUCAUGAAUGGGCAACAUAAAGGACAUCUGGAAGGCCCCCAAAUCAGUUUGAAUUGUGCAACUUGAAUUUGCCGGAGGCUUUCAAAAAUGGCGGCUCUUCCAGAUGCUAAGGAGAUGUGGCAGGCGCACUCUGCUGCUGGGAGGGAGUGGAGGAGGCGUUUGGAGCCUCUCUCCUGCCUUCCACUGGGUGGCGGCAGCUUCUUCUCCUGCAGGGCGUUCUCUCUGCAGCAUGGCCAGGAAAUGGCUGCCGUGCCUUGGUUGCUAUGGCAACAGGCCCAGGAUGACAUCAUCUCCGAGGCAUGGAAGUCAGGAAGCACGCGGAGGCUUUGCCCAAGACAACGUACGGGGGGGGGGGGGGGGAGGGAGAACUGGAGCGUCAGCGUGGCAUCAUCUGG